rnacentral:lncRNA from 10 species
CACAACAGGCUCCUCCCAGGUCUCCAGCUACACAACCCUCAGACUUAAACAACAGCAGCGGCACCAGCUCCUCCCUGGGUCUCCAGCUCCACAAACCUCAAAUUAGAACAGCAGCACUGCUCCUCCCCAGGUCUCCAGUUCCAUGACCCUCAAACUACAACAGCAACACAGGCUCCUCCCUGAAUCUCCAGCUCAACAACUCUCAGACUUGAGAGGCAGCACCGGCAACUCCCCAAGGCUCCAGCUCCACCACCCUCAGAUUUGAACAACCGUAGCA